rnacentral:lncRNA from 1 species
AUGAUGAGGUGCUACAUUUUCAAAGAGACAUCAUGUGUCUUUCUAACAACACUCACUUUCCUCUUAAAAUGGCCCCACAUGAAAUUUAAGGACACAAGUCGAAUUUUUUUUUUUUCUUUCGACAGGCCAUCAAAGGAGUGAUUUCAGGGCUAUCAAAUAGACAUAAUUCAGGGUCCAUUUUAUAAUCCCUUUAUACAUAGCCUGCGAAAAAUUUCACAGUGAAAACUGUCACAAGCUUCUACUCCUGGUGCCAAUGGCUAAUUUGCAACCUCUCUUUGACCUGCUGGGUUGUUAUCAGUUAAAAAAUAAACCCUUACUGGAGAUUUAGAUAUUUUGACAAAUAUAUAAAAAUUUGAGCCAUGAGCCCUGUAAAAAAUGGUCAUGGAGGAAAAUAACACAGAAAAGUUACCAGGAAAGAGCUCAAUGAACUUUCUCCUUGUUAAGAAAUGUUUAAAUCCUUUUGUUUGUAAAUGGCAGGUGGGUUGUACAAUUCCAAUGUAAUUUCAGAAAGCCAUCUUCUGAAUGUAAUAAACAUGUCGGCAAUAAUAGGAUUCAGAAAAUAGCAAAAUGCAUUCCAGACGCACUUUGAUUGUGCAUACAGAACAGAGAAUUUAGCUAUAAUUGGCUAUAACACAGUUAUGGACAGCAAAUGACACACUGUGGGUUUGGGUGAUGUAGCAACCCUGAUUAGCGCUGUUCGUUUUAGCCAAACACCAGAAAUAAAAUAAUGACUCUGUAGUGACACAGCACCUUUUCUUCCUCCCACCCUCCCUCCCUCUCGUUUUUUCCUUCCUCAUUUUUCCCCUUCUGUUUAACUGAAGUAUCAUAACUUAGACUAGAAAACUUAUGCUCUCAUUACUCAACAAAUCAAUUAUCAGCCAAGACUCCAUUCUUUCCAGAGACGAACAAUCGUAUGUGAAGGGGGAAGCAAAAGCCCAUGGAGAAUUGACUUUUGGAGAACUAGAUGUAAUUUGAAUCAAGAAUUAUAAUAGGAAAUAAACCAUUACAAUAAACAAGGAAACAUGUACACAAUUACUUUCACAGUGUAAUUUUAUUCACUCUAGUUGAGAAAAUAAAGAGAUAAUACUGACCGUAGCACCUGGGUAUUUAAUGCAAACUGUAAAAUCUAUUAUAUUAAACAAAGUCAAAAGCAAUGCGAAAGAUCUUGAAUCUAUUCAAGGCAUGCACCUCAUUACAGACUUAGCAAAUUAAAACACAAAUAGGAUUAGAAAAGAAUAAUGUAACAAUCUCCCACCACGGUCCCUAGAGCAUUAAGUCAUAAAUUGGGUUUGCAUUAAAUUGUGCCUGCAGUAUUGAAUUCAGUGAAAGAGCUGUGGGCUGGAGAUAAACCAUGCUGGGCUACUCACCAACUUUGGCAAAGCUAUGUGUUUUCUGAGACAUGUAGUAAAUUUGUUAGAAUAUAGCAGGCCCACGAAAAAAAAUGAGCACUUCAUAUCUUAAUUAAAAAAAUGUCCAUGUCACAUCAUAUCAAACCUCCUCUUUUAGAGAACACAAAUGGGCUUUUAGACUAUCCAGAGGAAUGUCCUUUUUUUUUUUUUCCAGUUGAAGAUUAGACCUUAACCACUCUGGCUGAUUUAUAGAAAAAUAUAUAUGACUUAUUUUUAAAGCAAGUGGAUGUACUUAAAUCAGUUUUUUCAAGUGAUUCAAAAUUGAAAAAUGUUGUCCACCACGUGUCCUUCCAUUCCAGGCUCUGUUCGGUUUAUGUCCUAACCCUUGAGUGAGGGAACCUAAAUCAGGCAAAAGGAAAUGGUUCUGAUUUUGGCGCCCCUGCAUUAAUUGCUUAUCUGCUGCCUCUUUGCAUAUGGCAGGCCAAAGGCAGAAAGCAGGCUGUGGGUCCUGCUUCCUUGGGGGCCCUAUCCCAGAGUAGAACUCAGUUUAUUUUCUCUGACUUCCUAAGGCUGUUAUGAGGAUUAAAGAAAAUCAGUGUAGAAUGCCUCGGUGCUCAAAAAACGUUGGUCUCCCUGCUCCCACUUCAUCACUGAGUGUAAGUCACAGAAGCAACCUCCACAAGGACACCCGAUUUCACUGGUUCCCCCAGUGGGAGUAGAGCCUUCUAGGUUCAAUGGAGCGCAGGAACGUCUCAGGUCGGUAGUGAGAUCUGUCCAGACCCUCCUGGUGGAGGAGGGCCACGUGCCUCUUCCUCACCAGGCACUUUCUUUUCCCUCCCUCGCCUCUGAUUCCCAUCGCCUCCCUCCCAGCCUUUGCAGCUGUCCUGGUCAUCAGGCGAAGUGUCCCUUCAUCACACUCAGCAGAAGACAGCCUGUUUAAACUGGCGCUGUCUAUUUUUAAGAGCUAUUUUGGAAGUCUAAGCGGCUCCCGUUUUGGCUUUAGUAAGACAAAUCUGGGCUAAAACACCCAGUGCCUCUUAAGUGUGAUGGAUACCCAGGACCCGCUGAAGUUUCCCGUAGCCACCGUCUGGUUCGUCCUAGUGGCAGUUUUUCUGCCAUGUUAUUUAUGUGGUGGUUUUACUUCUAAUUACGGCUCAUGAUGGCUGUUAGUGCUGAGCAGUAAGAGAGCAAACGGCAUUGUACUGCCAUUUAACUCCAGCCCAUAAAACGGGCGAUAAAGCUGAGGGCUUCACACCAAAACAGAAGCCCCCCCCCCAAAAAAAAAACCCGACCAUAACUUUCUGUGACAAGCUCACCUCCACCGCUGCCACUCUGAGGCUGGAAACUUUCACUGAUGAAGCACAUGGAGGCAGGUGACUCCCGAGGCCUCGGAGCCUCAAAUUUCAGCCCCGGCUUCAUUGUUAAGUCAUCCUUUAUUGUAGACAGAACAACCCCAGACCUCGGAUAUAAUUAACACAUGCCAGGUUUCAUCAGAACCAGGGUACUUGUUGUUUGGAAACUAAUGAAAGCAAAUAGAUGUUACUUAACACCGUCCAUAAUGAAAGGUCUUUUGUGGUUCUCAAUUUUGAUUACUGUUUUUUGAUGCUAAGAAGAAUGCCACUUGGUAUGUGCAUAAACAAAGAAGAUAAAUGGCCAGGAUGAGAAUGAGUUGUCCAUAAUCUGAUUAAAGCAAUAGAGCUGGCUCCUAGGAGAACCACACGGGGUUUAAUGAUUGGGUUGUUGUUCUUAAUACGUCUCAUGUUCACUCUUAAAGAAAUCAAGAAAAAUGUUAAGAGGUUACUGAUAUUUCACUCUGGCGUUGGGCUGUCAGAGCUUCUGACAGGGAAAGAACAUUCUCUUUGGCUGGAACAUAAAGUCCAGCCACGUAGGAAGCUCAUUUGCCCAAAUGAUAGCAGGAGGCAUUUAAAACCGAAAUCUGCCCCCAUUCACUCACUCCGCGGGCAGAGCCGUCACGGAUGAGGCAAGGACAGGCUUGGCUUUGCUGAAGGUGCAAUGUGAUAAAAUAGCUGAGAAACGCCACUCAUCUUCUGUUUCGUUAAUUCCUCUUCUUUCUUGACAGAAUGCUUCCGGAUUUCGGGAAGAUGUCUGCUAGCGUUUGGAUAGUAAAUACAUUCUUUAAAAGCUCGGGAAUACUCUAGGCUGCUGGGAUGUUAGGGAGAAGAGUCACACCAUUCUCAAGCUCUGCAGGAGCUGGCCAUGGUUGAAUGUAGUGAGUUGCUUCUUCAUUCCUUCCUGUUGGUGAGUUCUGAGGUCCUCUGUGUGUGUGUGUGUGUGUGUGUGUGUGUGUGUGUGUGUGUGUGCAUAGUCACACCGUUACUCAUAGGUGACUGGUCCUAGAAAUCUACGUCAGUCUAACAGCUUGAGCGACAGAGAGAGGGCUGACUCUGGCUACUGUGCAUCGCCUCCAGGAUACACAAUCAACAUAAGCUCUCAGGAAUCUAAUAAAUUUUAAGAUGACUCCAGUGACAUUCAGCCAUUAAGAUCUUUGUUGCCUUUGAAACUCUACACUGGGUCAUUGGAUUCUGGAUGGACAGGAAUUGGGUUAUUUUGCUUAUUUUAUUUAUUUUUGGGGGGGCCAUGCCCACAGCACACAGAGGUUCCCUAGGCAAGGAUUGAACCCACACCAUAGCAGCGAUCUGAAUGCUGUAGUGACAAUGCUGGAUCCUUAACCUACUUCACCACAAAGGCACUCCUGUUCUGCUUAUUUAAAACCGGUCAUCUAAGUGAUUUUGAGCGCUCUGAACUUCGGUUUCAGUUCCUCAGAUACAUAUUUGAACAUCCACUGUGUGUUAAUGUCCCAUUUUACAGAUGAGAAAGCUGAGGUUCAGAGAGAUUAAAUAACUUCCCCAAGACCCCUAGCUGAGUGGUUAGUCAGUAGCUUAGUCCCAACUGAAUAAAAUCCAUCUGAUUCUCAAGUUUACCUUUCUGCCAUCCUACUGGUCUCAAUCAACAGUUAAACCUCCAUGUUUCAAUGAAUAUAAAAUAUCCCUGUGUGGUCUCUUUUCUUUUCUUUUGCUUUUUAGGCCCGAAUAUGUGGCACACGGAGGUUCCCAGGCUAGGGGUCGAAUUGGAGCUGCAGCCACCAGCCUAACCCACAGACUCAGCAAGGCUAAAUCCAAGCUGCAUCUCUGACCUACACCACAGCUCACGGCAACACCAGAUCCUUAACCCACUGAGUGAGCCCAGGGAUUGAACCUACGUCCUCAUGGAUACUAGUCAGGUUCAUUACUGCUGAGCUGCAACAGGAAUUCCCGUGUGGUCUCUUUUCUUGAUAGAGCCUAUGAAUCUGACAAAAACAGGUGAUUGGCCCUCUCCCAGGCAAGGAGAAGCACAGAGGCUUGGCCUGCUUGCUCCCUGCACCUGGGCAGGUGGGGCAUGAUUUCCACGUACUUCUCAGCUCCUUGUUAGUGGCCUCCUCUUUCCCUCGCAGACCAGACUUCGGCUUCCGUCACUUCCCAAGCCCAACAGACUGGUUGGGUUCCCAGAGACAUGGGAAGGACAUUGGUUGGAAAUGAAUUGAGAGAGAGUUGUCUUUUCUGAGCCUUUCCCUUCUCCCACUGGCCCAUUUUGGAGCCAUGUGGUCGGUCACAUCUUGGCACCACCACUCGCGGGCAGGGAGAGGAAAUGAAAGGAGAUGACAAAACCACAGCUGUGUUAUUUAUUAGGCCUCGAUUUUUUUUUAAAUGAUGGAGAAAAAGGUGGAACUAAGCUGCUUUCUCUUAGAAAAUGCUGGCAGUAAUUUUAGUGGCAGGUUUUAAACAUCUGAAUGUAUUAGCUAUAAUGAGCUCUGCAGCAGGGUGGUGAGGAGAGAGCCCAAGGCUCAUUGGCAGGGUCGGGGUGACCUUGGGCAAGCCACUUCCCAUCUCUAGGCCUCAGUUCCCCCUUCUGUACCGAGCGCCCGUGCAGCCUGGUGAUCCCUGUGACUUCCUGGGAAUGCGGCCGGGGUGGGGCAGACCACCUGCUCUGGAGUCAGCUGAUGGCUCUGAAUCUUGACUCUGUUGGAGUUCUCAUUGUGGCUCAGUGGAAACGAACCUGACUAGUGCCCACGAGGAAGCUGGUUUGAUCCCUGACCUCGCUCAGUGGGUUAACUGUCCGGGGUUGCCACGAGCUGUGGUGUAGGUUGCAGGCGGGGCUUGGAUCUGGUGUUGCUGUGGCUCUGGUGUAGGCUAGCAGCAUUAGCUCUGAUUCGACCCUUAGCCUGGGAACGUCCAUGAGCCACACCUGUGGCCCAAAAUAAAAUAGAGUCUUAGCUCUGUCAAUCAGUCCUUGCAGGAGCUGUGUGACCUGGGGUCAGUUACUCAGCUUCUCUGAAGCUCAGUUUCCACCUCUGUAAAAUGGGGAUAAGGGUCCAGCUCAGUGUUCAUUAAGAGGUUUGGACUGGUCAAUGCAUGAAUAGCUUCUGGAGAAGGCAUUUUCCCAGAACCGGAAGGAAGAACUGGUGAGGAGGAUGCUUAGAAGGCAAAUGAUCUUGGUGAGACGUGCACGCUGGGAGAGGCUGGGGGUGGGAGGAGUGGGGUUCUGGGCGACCCUUCCCAAGAGAGGAGAAAACCAAGUACCUGUUAGUAGCAGGACAGAAAACGGAGUGCCUCAGUGCCAACCUUCGUCAGGAACAUGGCCUUGAGGGAAAAAAAGAAAUCUCAGAACACUCUCGCUUCCUUGCCUCCUGCUUUUCAUUUCUUAACUCUUUAUUUUUAAUGAAGAUGGGAAGGUUUACAAUUUUGACAGUUCCAUUUAUUUCUAGCAUUUUCAUCUAAAACAAUACAAUGAGCAGCAAUUAUUCCACCCGGAUGUCGGCUGCAGCUGGAUAAAUGUCACUAGUAAUUAAACGUGCUCUGUGCACUCUGUGCUGUCUCUUCCGUUCGCUGUCUGUCUGUCUGUCUCCUUCUUUACCACCAACCACCAAACCAUCCCUUUGUCCUUCCUCCUUCUCACCCCCACCCUCCAUUCUCAUAGAGGGGCACAAGAAAGUACCGAAUAGGGACCCGGUUGACCUCAAGGGGCUGAGCCGCGUGCAUGAAGUGCCCAGAAGAGCAAAUCCUCCCCCAGAGGGCAGGUGGAGGAUCCCAGGGAAGGAGAGCGGCUGCCUUCCAUUCCUGGGCUCGCCUUCCACUCCGUAUCUAAUGCCUCCAGGCCACAGGGGGGCGCCCCGGCUGCUCCUCUGUGCAGGGACGCUGCUCCUCUGGCCUGUCCCUAUCAGUGUCCUCUGUCCUAAGCAGAGGGUCCUGCAUCUGAGCAAGGGGAAGGAGAUAACUCCCAAGCCCCAAUUUCCCCAGGAUUCCUCCUCAGGUGUCACUCACCCAGGUAGCUGGGGCUCUAUGGACACCAAGAAAGCAAUAGGAGCUUUCUUUGCAAAAUCAUGGUCAAAUAUUUAUAUUUGUUUAGGAUUUGCUUCCAUAGGAUUUGUUGUUGUUGUUAAUUCUAAUUUAUUUCCAAAAUAAAUCUGAAUCUCUUUUAUAGGUAAACAC